AACGAGCGCUGGCGGCAGGCUUAACACAUGCAAGUCGAGCGCCCCGCCAGGGGAGCGGCAGACGGGUGAGUAACGCGUGGGAACGUACCUUUUGGUUCGGAACAACUCCGGGAAACUGGAGCUAAUACCGGAUAAGCCCUAACGGGGAAAGAUUUAUCGCCGAAAGAUCGGCCCGCGUCUGAUUAGCUAGUUGGUGAGGUAACGGCUCACCAAGGCGACGAUCAGUAGCUGGUCUGAGAGGAUGAUCAGCCACACUGGGACUGAGACACGGCCCAGACUCCUACGGGAGGCAGCAGUGGGGAAUAUUGGACAAUGGGCGCAAGCCUGAUCCAGCCAUGCCGCGUGAGUGAUGAAGGCCUUAGGGUUGUAAAGCUCUUUUGUCCGGGAAGAUAAUGACUGUACCGGAAGAAUAAGCCCCGGCUAACUUCGUG
rnacentral:rRNA from 1 species